GAUGAAGAACGUAGCGAAAUGCGAUAAGUAAUGUGAAUUGCAGAAUUCAGUGAAUCAUCGAAUCUUGAACGCACAUUGCGCCCGCCAGUAUUCUGGCGGGCAUGCCUGUUCGAGCGUCAUUUCAACCAUCAAGCCCCCCGGCUUGUGUUGGGGACCUGCGGCUGCCGCAGGCCCUGAAAAGCAGUGGCGGGCUCGCUGUCACACCGAGCGUAGUAGCAUACAUCUCGCUCUGGGCGUGCUGCGGGUUCCGGCCGUUAAACCACCUUCAUAACCCAAGGUUGACCUCGGAUCAGGUAGGAAGACCCGCUGAACUUAAGCAUAUCAAUAAGCGGAGGA
rnacentral:misc_RNA from 1 species